GCUUUCACAAGCUUCAACAGGAAUAUCUACUUCAAUCUCAUCUUCAUCAGAAUCUGACGAAUUGGCAUAAGCUAAAGCCAACAGGCCAAGGGAAGAAGUUUCUUUACGUGUGUUGGUCCUUGAAAGCUCUUCUACACUUCCAUUAUUCAAUUUCUGAAUUCGAUCAGAUGACUCUACUGGGUCAUCAAUCAAGGCAGGAGCCCUUUUAACAAACCGUCCAGAACUGGAAUCUGAUUCUGCAGCAUUUGGGUCCCUACCAGUAGCAGUUAUGCCACUUACACUUCCUGUCCAGCCAUUGAAAUCACUAUAAUCAGAUGACAUCAAAUGACGAGCAGCUGCUUCUGUUGGUCGAAUUAUGGCCACACACGUAUAACAUAGGAUCCCACAAGUUGCACAAGAAAAAAGUCCUUGCUCCGACAGUGUAUCGCAUUUGUAAGUCAUUCCUCUUGCGGCGUCCAGGUUGACUUUUUCGGUUUCUGGAGAGGAUUGGGCAUCAUCCUUUCUGCCAGAGUCUGGCAGACUGUUACCAGUGUGCCAAGAAGAGUACUUUCCCUUCUCUAAAGAGAUGCCUGCAUAUUGUUUCAUCCCCUGUUUCCUGCCUAGUUUGCGAUCAUCAUAUGCGGAAUCUUUUUUACUCUUCACCUCGUGAUCUGAAUUGGAUGAACUGGGGAACAACCUGGAAUUUACCUUUGACUGGGAUCCAGCUACUAAAUUAG
rnacentral:misc_RNA from 1 species